rnacentral:ncRNA from 2 species
CGUCGCCGCGCGGGAGAGCUCCGGACCGAGGUUCGGACGCCGAAGGAGCAGCACCUCCCCGUCAAUCUCUCAGGCACCCGGACCGUGCGGGCAUC